rnacentral:rRNA from 1 species
GUCCACGCCGUAAACGUUGGGCGCUAGGUGUGGGGUCCUUCCACGGAUUCCGUGCCGCAGCUAACGCAUUAAGCGCCCCGCCUGGGGAGUACGGCCGCAAGGCUAAAACUCAAAGGAAUUGACGGGGCCCGCACAAGCGGCGGAGCAUGUUGCUUAAUUCGACGCAACGCGAAGAACCUUACCAAGGCUUGACAUGCAGGGAAAAGCCGUAGAGAUACGGUGUCCGUAAGGGUCCUGCACAGGUGGUGCAUGGCUGUCGU